AUCCAGAUGAGGAGUCCUAAAGUGGACGAAAUGUGCAUACUGGAU
rnacentral:hammerhead_ribozyme from 1 species